GCCAAAUAGAGUUGAUUUUAUUACAUCAUGUUUUCUUUGAAAAAGGAGAGGUUAGGAAAUGAGGCGCCCUGUGACCAUCCUGGAUUUUUCCGAGCCGAGACAACAGAAGACCCCAGAGAUUGGAAAACGAGCUGUCCAGUGCGAAGCCCACCUUUUGACCACAAGAAGGAAAAGCACGAAGGGCCGGGCCCCAGACGGCCCAUUCCGGGCACCCCCCAAACUCCUCGUCCUCCCAUCCUCCAGUUGGCAGCCACAGUGUACCGGCAGUUCUGAGGGGCCGCCCUUUUGGGCCUUCCAAGGACCCACCCAGCGAGGACUCUGUAAAGCGCAGAAGGCGGCGCUGCAGAAAACAAAAACGUGGACUCUCCAGGAGGCGCAGUCACAAAACGCUAGUCCCAACCCGAUUCCUCCAGUUCCUGAGAGACCGUCAGCUCCGGCCCCGCAGCCACUGCGCCCUCCUGUCCCCAUAGUCUUCUGGCUCCAGCAGGACCACAUGUCCUCCUCACCUGAUGGCCUGAAGACAAAAGAAAGCCGAACUUCGGACCCACGCGGCUCCACACACAGGACGAGGUUAGCCUUCCCACCUGGGACCCUGCGGUGAUAAGCUGUGGGUCAGGCCACGCCCCAGCCAUCUAUGAUUGGCUGAUGGAUCCCAGGCCCGCCCCUUCGCCCCUACCCCCUGCUUUGUCUUGUAGGCUUGAGCCCUUGGUCUCACCUCUACUCAAGACCUCUCCCCUGCCUCAGUAUCUUGAUGAUGUCAUAACAGAGCCGCCUACAUAGACCCUGGUCUCUCCCAUUAUUCUUGUGCUGAGGAUCCACUUCCCUUCUUCCCAAGUUUUCUCACUUCUCCAAGGUAACUGGGACCUCUAAAUAAGCAAACACUUCUUUCCCCAGUUAGCUUCCAACGUGCAGAACUGGCUUUUUAUAGCCAGAGAGCCUAAGUACGCUGUGAUAACCACACAAUGGUUUGGAAGCAACACUCAGUGGCAUCUGUUCUAAUCCUUGGCCAGGUCAUGGAGGAGAGUUGCUCAUAGAGAGGGUGGGCAGUUCAGAGUCAUUCAUCCCCACAGCUGAGCAUUUCUGUUACAGUGGUGCUCUCCUAUGUAAAAGUCACAUUUUCAAUUUUCUCAGCCAUUGAACAUGGCAGUAGUCAGUUUAGGGUGAUCACAGGAGGAUCUA
rnacentral:lncRNA from 12 species